UAAUAUUCAUAAAAUGGAAUAAAAUAAUUCUAGCAGUUGCAUCACUUACUUGAGCUAUAUGGAUAUUGUUAAAGGUCCCAAACUUGAUGUACCAAAUUUAGGAUUAUAGUAAUGGACUCACUUGAUGCACAAACCUAUUAAAAGAAAAUAAAAAUCAAAGAAAGCCCAGCAGCCAAAUCUGCAAGGGCCCACUAUAGAUAAAGCCCAAGUGAAAGCAACUUGGUGCAUCACCUAGUUUGACCUUUUGAGCUUCUUGAUGUGCAUAAGCAGGUGUGUCACCUACUUGAACAAUUAGUGGCUGAAAAUGGACCCCAAAAAAGGAGGUUCUAGAGGACAUUUUUGUGGUCAAUAAACUUCCAUAUAUAUCCAAUAUGAGCAGAUAUUCUUCACCCAAUUUAACACAUAAUAUUGAGAAUUAUCUCCAGCUCUCUCUCUCUCUCUCUCUCUCUCUCUCUCUCUUUUAUCUUCAAGAUUAAAACAGGAGUUUUUAGGGUUCUUCAAGAAACCCUCAUAUCUGCAAAACAAGGCAAGUGAAAACUGGAGUUUGCUUAAUUCUCGCAUGGAUUAUUGGAAAAAUAUGUUUUUCAUGCUCAAGUAUAAAUACAAAAUCAAAAGAAUUCAAGAAGAUAAUGAUCACUUCCUUAGUUACAAAGAGACCUUUUUCUUGUUCUUUGGUUUAAGUAUGAAGGGAACCUAAAUUUCUAGAAGAAUUCAAGUUAUAAGGAGAAGUUGCUGAAAUUGAGGUAAGGUGACUGCCCAUUUUUUUGUCUUCCUUAUGUAUGAGUUUGAGUGAGGAAUUAGGGGUGUGCUGUAAUAAAGAACUCAAGAGGGUAUUGAAUUCAAUAAUUGGUUGUAUGAUAAAGAAUAUUUGGGGCUGUUCUAUGUGUAUUAUUUUUGGUGUAGCUUGGUUGAUUUUGAGGAAGGAUAUAUAAUGUAUGUGUUGGUCAUAGAAUGAGGGUGUGGUGAUACACGUUAUGUUAAAGGGAUAGAUGGGUUCAUUAUCUGUCAAAGUUAGCUACUGUUUUACGAGGCUCAUGGUGUAAUAGCUACUAAUUUUAGUUUACCAUGACUUAAAUUGUAGAUUAAAACCGAAAAGGGGAGGCUGAAUAGUGAUAGUUAUACUGGUCAAAGGAUAAGUUAUGCAAGGCUAUUCGAUUCUAUAUCCCUUUGGCAUGAAAUUUGAUAAUUGCAAUUAAUACUAAUGAGGUGAUUCUCAUAAGUUCUAUUCCUAGAAAAGGAAACAUAGUGGCAGCGUACUAUCUCCAAAUAGCUAACAAUAUUUCCCCCUCUCCGAAGUGCAUAGAACUACUUCAUUAUAUGUUCACUAUUUUAUACUUGUGAAAUUAUUCCCGCAUGUGCUAGUUUAGAAAUGGUAUUUGCAAAAGAAAGUCUGGCGAAUCCUCCUCUUUGUUGGUUGAAGUCAAUUCUGUCAUUAAACUCUUAAAGUAAUGUGUUGAUGUGACAUAGCUCCUUAUGCCAUUGUUAUCACCUUGAAGUAUUAUUUUCAUGUCUUCAAAUAUUGGUCCGUACUUCCAUAUCUCCAAAAUGGUUAUGACCACCAAAAUAAUAUCUCAAAAGAGUUACGAUUAUCCAAAGAACAAUGGCAAAAGAGUUAUGAACUCAUAAACAACAAUGUCAAAGAAUAAAUAAUCUAAGUGAAGAAAUAUACAUAAUUACGGGUGGAAGCGCAGGAGCGAAAGCCUAGCAUGGGUCGAUCCCAACUGGUACAUAAGGGUGGCAGCUCAGGGGCGAAAGCCUAGCAUGGGCGCCCUAUUGUUAUAGAAGGGUUGCAGCUCAAGGGAAAAAGCCUAGCAUGGGCCGAUCUCAAAUUGUGUAAUUAUGAGGACCGUAUCGUAGGGGUUAAUAUGCCUAGCUGGUCACUUGUAUCACAUGCCCUACAAAGAUAUUAUAACAUACAUACAAGUAAAGAAAACAAUGUAACUUACAUGAUCUCACAAGGGUAAGUAAAUGUGGUCUUCUCUCCUGAUCUAUGCACUCAUAUGUUGAUACUUGAUUUCAUUCGAGCCCUCAUAUUAUAUAUGCUAUAUUGCCUACAUAUUCAGUAUAUUUUUCGUAUUGACACCCCUCGCUGGGGACGCUGCAUUUCAUGCCGCAGACACAUGUACUCUAGCUAGUAGACCUCCUUAGAAGGAGGAUACGACAUUUAGAUACUUUUGAUGAGCUCCAGGUUGAUCUGGAGCUUUACUGAGUCUUGUGUAAAUUCAUUUUGGUAUUGUAUCAUAGUUGAGGGUAAGGCGGGGCCUACUCUAGGUAUUCUAUCUUUUUAGAGGCUUUGUAAACGUAUGUUCAUGGUUCAGUUAUGUCUUAAGGAGUUGUGGCCUCAACGCCAAGUCUUGUAUUUAAUUUUUGGGUCUACUUAUGUUGGUUUUUAUCGCUGCAUCCUUUUUAAACUUAUCACGAUUGUUAUAGUUAUAUGCAUAGUAAGAACAUAUUUCAGGUUGGUUCUGUUGGGCCCUUAGGGCAUCGGGUGCUUGUCUGUCUUAAUGGGAUUUGAGGCAUGACAUCCGCUCAUUUUAUUCCCGUCAAGUCUACCUAUUGGGUGGAGGGUUAUGCAAAGGAUCUUCAUAGAUGAGAUUGUGUGUUGCCAUAGUAUUUCGUUAUCCAUCAUAUUGGAUUGGGGUGCACAAUUACAUCUAGGUUCUAGAGGUCAUUCCAAAAAGGAUUUGUUACCAAGGUGAAGUUAAGCACCACUUUUCAUCCUCAAAUGGAUGGUCAAGUGAAUUAUACAAUUCAAACCCUUAAGUAUGUGAUUAGAGCUUGUAUUAUUGAAUUCAAUGGAAAUUGGUAUAGACACUUGCCAUUGGUUGAGUUUUCCUACAACAAUAGUUACCAUUCAUCUAUAUCUAUGGCUCCUUAUGAAGCCUUGUAUGGUAGGAAAUGUAUAUAUCCAAUUGGAAGGUUCGAAGUGCACGAUACUUCACUUUUGUAUCUAAAAGUUUCGCCUAUGAAAGGGGUGGUGAGAUUUAAGGUUGCAUACGAGUUGAGGUUACCUAGUUAAUUGACUUUGGUUCAUCUGGUGUUCCAUGUUUUUAUGCUUAAGCAGUGUAUUAGUGAUCCAGAGUCCAUUCUUCCUAUUGAAGUUCUAGGUGUUCAACAGACCUCUCUUAUGAAGAGGUUACGAUUCAAAUCUUUGAUAGAUAAUUGAAGAAGUUAAGAAAUAAAGAGGUGGCUUCCCUAAAGGUGUUAUGAAAGAAUCACCUAGUUGAGGGUGCAACAUAGGAGACCGAGGCUGACAUGAAGUUCCGUUACCCUCAUAUAUUUGAUAACCAAGGUUCUGGCCGUUGAAGUCUUGUGACGAGUUUUGAAGGAAGGAUUUGAUUCUCAUUUUCAUGCCUUAAAACCCAUUAAGACGGACAGACACCCGAUGCCCUAAAUGCCCGAGAGAACCAACUUGCAACCUGUUCUUACUGUGCAUAUAACUAUAACAAUUGUGGCAAGUUAACCUAGGAUGCAGCGAUACAAAACAACAUAAGUAGGUCCAAAAGUUAUAUAGAAGAAUUGGCCGUUGAGGCCACAACUCCUUAAGACACAACUGAACCAUGUAUGUACGUCUACAAAGCCUCUAAAAGAUAGAAGACUAGAUUAGGUUGGCACAAACUCUUCCUUACCCUUAACUACGAUACAAUACCGAAAUGAAUUUAUGCAAGACUCAAUAAAGCUCUGAAUCAACUUGGAGCUCACCCAAAAGUAGCAGAGUUUCGUGUUCUCCUAUUGAGGAGGUCUACUAGCUUGAGUACCUGUUCCUGCAACAUAAAAAGCAGCGUCCCCCGCGAGAGACGUCAAUACGAAAAAAUGUACUGAAUGUGUAAAGCAAUAACAUAUGUAAUACGAGAGCUCAAAUGAAAUCAAAGUAGCAACAUAUGAGUGCAUAAAUAAGGAGAGAAGACCACCUUUGCUUACUCUUAUGGGAUAAGGUAAGUUACAUUCUUUUCUUUACUUUUCUAUAUGUUAUAAUUUUAUUAAUAGGGAAUGUGAUACAAGUGACCAACUAAUCAGUGGUAGAAGAGGAUGACCCAUUCUAGGGGUAUUAACCCGUGGAAUGGGGUCCUUAGAAUUACACAACUUUCAAUCCGCCCAUGCUAGGCCUUCGCCCCUGAGCUGCCACCCUUCUAUACCAAUAUGAAUCGACCCAUGCUAGGCUUUAACUCCUGAGUUGCCACCCUUAUGUACCAGUUGGGAUCGACCCAUGCUAAGCUUUCGCCCCUUGGCUGCCAUUUGUAAUUAUAUAGAUUUUUUCACUUAGAUUCUUUAAUCUUUGAGAUUGUUGUUUAUCA